AUACGAACUGUGCAAACGUUAUUCGGAAUCAUUGGGCUUAAAGAGCGCGUAGGCGGCGUCGUAAGUUGAAGGUGAAAUCCCAGCGGCUCAACCGAGGAACUGCGCCCAAUACUGCCGCACUCGAGGGAGACAGAGGUAAGCGGAACUGAUGGUGGAGCGGUGAAAUGCGUUGAUAUCAUCAGGAACACCAGUAGCGAAGGCGGCUUACUGGGUCUCUUCUGACGCUGAGGCACGAAAGCUAGGGUAGCGAACGGGAUUAGAAACCCCAGUAGUCC
rnacentral:rRNA from 1 species